rnacentral:lncRNA from 1 species
UGCCUUCAACAAGAUGGGCCCAAGCUAUCACUUUCUUUUCAUUAGAGACAGUGGAACACAACUACAGAGAUAGGGAUUGUUUGUAGACAAUAUUAGGAUGAAUGUUCAAAGUUGGUAGUAAGUGGUCUAUUGUACAUACUCAAUCAAUACCUUUUCACUAGGGACUGUCUCAUUAUUUUUCUUGUACCUUUGACUGCAAAUUUAGACUUUCAUCCUUUUAACCAAAUCCAAAUAUCUCUCACCCAUUCCUUGAUCCAUGGUCUAGUGAAGUGUGGGGUUGAUCCAUGAGACUACAGAGCAAAAAAAGGGGGUCCCAUUGGAGCUCUGAGCUAGGGUUUAAAUACUAUUUUUUAGUGGGGGCAUAACUAGUAAGUAUCAUUUGGGGGAGGGCUUUCUGAUUAAACCAACCAUGCAACAUCUUAUCUCCUUCAUAGCAUUGUUUAUUUCUUUUGGUUCACCAUUCCGUUUAACUGGGUAAGUUUGAAGUUGAGGGACAUGUCCUUGAUUUUAGGAAGACCAUAUAGUUAUAUGUUUUCUGAAUAGUAAAUGUGGUUUUGGAAACGUUUUUCAUGGUCUUUGUGAAGACUAGUUCCUUCUUACAGGAAGGCUGUACAUUUUGUUGGUAUGUUGAUUUUUACAAUUACAUAUGAGGAGUUGAAGAGGUUUGCUUGCACCAGUCAGAUCAUGUCUAAGAUAGGAGCUGAUACCAGUAUCAGGUAGUUUAUUAAGGGGUAUAGUUUGUAUUAAAGCAGUGCUUGCUGCACUGGUGCCAUGAUCUAUGGUAAUAAACCACUUAAGAAGAACCAGACUAGAUCCCAUUGUUACACUAAUAAGUUUCAAAGUAUUAUAUGCUGGCUCAGCAAACUACCAUCAUUACAAAGCUAGAAUAGAGAAGUUGGAGUUAUUAACUUUUCCAAUUGCCUGUAUUUUGAUAUUUUUAUCUCUAUUUACCAAUAAAAAUAGCAUUUUAAUCUAAAAUGAUAUACACUGGUAUACCGGUAGUUCUGCAUGUCCUCUAAUAACUCCAUGUGCCAAGACACUUGAGUGUAUGAAGAGAUGUACCGUGAAGUUGGGAAAUGGAAAGAUCAGAUGGGUUUGGAUGUUUGUGUUAGUAUCAUAGUCCUCUGCAUCUGGUGUAUGCCCUCCUAAGCAAUUUACCCAGGGCAGUCUUAACAUGAGGGUACCUGACCUUGAUAAAUUGCUGUCCCUAUUGUGUCCCAGUUUUUCCUUUGGAACAGAUUUGGUAUAUACGUUCUUAUUCUUUUCUCUAUUCGAAAUGUUUUUAGUGUGAAUCGCUAGAGUGCCAUCUGUCAGAUUUCUUCUUUCCCUCCCAGUCCCUUGAAUUUAAAUAUCUAAUAUGGAGAGGAGAGCCACGUUGCCGCUGGUACAAAUUGACACAACUGCAUGCUCAUAAAUGCUAAAGCACAGAAUACCACGUGACUUGCCCUAUCGUAAGCUGCAGCUGGCAAAGUCCCUUUUGAACUGUUGAUAAAAAAAAUAUUGUAGAACAAUCGCGUCUCCCACUCUGACUCCACCAUAACUUUUACAAGCAAAGAAGAUUGUUGUGCUUUGGGCAGGGCAUGCUAUUGCAGAGAAAAGGAAAGGCACAGAGGUAGUCAAAAGGUAUAGUAGUGGUCCAAUAGGGGUGUUGCAGUUACACAAUAAUGUUUCUCUUUUCAACUGGGCCUCCCCCCCCCCUUCUCAGUUUGAUUCCCUGGCACCAUUUUUGUAUAAAUUAACUGUCCCAAAAUACAGACGUGCCUUCACACUGGCCAGAUUGGAUAUGAUGCCCUCUGCCGUACUUGAGGGCAGAUACCAAAAGAUUCCAACUGAGAAACGACUCUGCCCCUGUGGAGAUGGCAAUCUAGAAACAGUGGCUCAUGUUCUCCUGUCCUGUCCCCUUUAUAAAGAUCUGAGGAAUGAGAUCAUCACCCCACUCUUACUUACCAUCCCAGGCCGCCCAUCUGCAGCCACAUUGUUCUUUCUUUUAUCAGAUCAAAAUGAUCAGACAACAGCAAAGGUUGCUAGGUCUAUCAAGGGUGCAAUGAAAUUAAGGGCCACUAUCUGAACGAUAAUCUUGGUCAUUUGAAUGCCCUUUUUACCCAUUGUUGUCUUUUAAAUUGUAUAUAUUGCUUGUUUUAUGUUGCUAUGGCCGUUGGCUAAUGCAAAUAAAGUUUAUCUAUCUUUCAACUGGGGAAUGUUGGAGGAUGUGUAUUUUCUCUUUCCCCGUGAUCUCUCCAUGCUGCCUGCCUGUGUGUGUGUAUGUGUGUGGAAUGGAAGAAAGGGAGGCUUAUUAGGGAAUUAUCUCUACAGUGGGGCCCUGGGGAGAGGAAAGUGUGCAAGGAGCCCCAAUGCAGAGACAGUGGGAUGUUGGGGAGGUGCAGUGGAUAGGCUUGCUCAAAAGCAAGCUGCCUAUGAAGAAGGGAGUGCAGGAACACUACACACUGAAGCCUGGAUUCAUAUGUGCUACUACUGUGAGCCAGAGAAUGCACAAAUAGCAAAUGGAAACAGUAUGCCUCACAUCUGAGAGCUGAGCUUUCUCAGCUCCCGAAUUCCUGACUCCCUUGUGUGAUUGAAUGUGCCAUCCCCACCCCAUCCAUUCCUUUCCUUGCACAGAUAUUUUAAAAUGUAUAUCCUAGAAAAGCUUUGCCAGCAUCAGAAUGCAUUGCCUCGCUGUGACUAAAUCUGCAUGGGGUUCAGCUUUGGCUGGCACACUUUCUUGAACACAGGAGGUUCUCUUGCAACUUCUCUUAACCUGACUGAUACGCCGCAGCAGUGCCAGGCUUUCUGUCAAUCUCGCCCCUUUCCUCCCUGCGGUGAUUCUCCAGCAAUGGCAUCAAACUCUGUUUGGAUCCAGCUGGGCUUAUGCUCUUGUCUUUCUGGCUAGGAAAAGGGUGCUGGGCUGCCAAGAGCAUAUGUGCUACUGUUGCCACUUAUAUGUUAAUUAUACUUCUGAAGUGGUGCCAAGGAUAGCCGCGUAAGCUGAGUCUGGCACUUGUUUACUCUUGACUCAGAACCUGGAUCAGCCAAAUGAUAUUUCUCCUGCAGCUCUGCAUGAAGAGGUGUGAAUUCUGCACUUAGCUGCAUGUAGGUCUCGCUUCACUCAGGGUAGCAAUAACAAAUAAAUGUAUCAAAAUAAAAUGGGGGCAACUUAGAGACAUGCCCCCAGAGAGCUGUGAACGCAGUUGCUCUGAAAUUAGCAGGCAUCCAUUGUAUUCUGUGGGAUUGUGCCAUUCUCAAAUUGGGAACAUUGCAUUAAGACAGGGCAGGGGAUUCAUAGGCCUCAGCCUCAUUUCCGUAAAGCCCCUUGCUGCUCCCCUUGUGGCUUACACCGAUUUGUUCUUGACCUGGUUUUGGAUCACUGAUGGUCAGCUGGCAGCCAAAGAAUUCCCUUCAAGAACAGAGUUGUACAAGUGAGUCCUCCUCUUGGUCUGUGCUGCAUAGGCAACACAAAGGCUGUCAUUGCUAGGGUUUCCUCUAACACCAAUACACAGGCAUGGGGGGGAAACCCCCAAAAUAUGUGCCGUGUCCACUAGGUGAUUUGGUUCCACUGAAUCUGUUCUGAUGGUGUCCUCCUGCAUUCCCCACCCCUACCAUCUUCCGUUGAAUUCCUGUGUAGUUCCCUCAUCCUCAUGAUGGAAAUCAUGUUCCUGCAGCUCCAACUCAUGAAUGAGGCAAGUUUGUAGCCCUCCUCUUUGGCCCUAAAACUGCUUUUACCUAUAAGCCUCUUUGAGUCCCAUCAAGGAAAAAGGCAGCCAUAAAUCAAGAAAUAAUAGCAGCAGCAGCAACAGCAACAGCAACAACAACAACAGGGAAUGCCUCUCCAGAUUCCCAUGAGUACUCCAUUGCUCUAUAUAAAGACGUCAGCUUCCUAGCUGCUUGAUGCAAAGGCAGCCCUGUAUCUGGAAGGUUUUUUUAUGUUUGAUGUUUUACUGUGUUUUAUGUAUGCUGUGGGCUGCCCAGAGUGGCUGGGAAACCCAACCAGAUGGGUGGGGUAUUAUUAUUAUUAUUAUUAUUAUUAUUAUUAUUAUUAUUAUUGACCAUAAAGAAGGCUGAUCACUGUAGAACUGAUGCUUUUGAAUUAUGGUGCUGGAGGAGACUCUUGAGAAGAUCAAACCUAUCCAUUCUUAAGGAAAUCAGCCCUGAGUGCUGACUGGAAGGACAGAUCCUGAAGCUGAGGCUCCAGUAUUUUGGCCACCUCAUGAGAGGAGAAGACUCCCUGGAAAAUACCCUGAUGUUGGGAAAGAUUGAGGGCACAAGGAGAAGGGGAUGACAGAGAACGAGAUGGCUGGAGAGUGCUGUCGAAGCUACCAACAUGAGUUUGACCAAACUGCAGGAGGCAGUGGAAGACAGGAGUGCCUGGCGUGCUCUGUUCCAUGGGGUCACAAAGAAUCGGACACGACUAAACAAUAUUAUUAUUAUUAUUAUUAUUAUGGCUUAAGGAAGUGGUCAUUUUAAUCUGUCAGCAUACUUUGGACAAGAACUGGAUUACCAAAGGUAUUUAAUGGCCAAACUAGAUACCAGAGGGACUCAUCAGUAACUGAUGUGCUGUGCUGCUUUUGCACCAUGCUGAGAUUCAGCUUUCGGGUGGUCAGGUGAGUGUCACUGACCCACCACACUACCGACUGCUGAGACUCGGUCAUUUUCAUUUUGUCAGAGACAGGGUGCUACCAGAAUUACACCAGGAGCAGGAAGCAUUAAACCUCAAUUUCCCACAGGCCGCAGUCCAGAAAAAAAUAGGAGGGGGCAUGUGUUGGGGAAUUUGGGUGAAGAAGAAGAAGAGGAAGAGGAGGAGGAAGAGGAAGAAGAAGAAGAAGAAGAGGAAGAGGAAGAGGAAGAGGAAGAGGAAGA